rnacentral:rRNA from 1 species
GAUGAACGCUGGCGGCGUGCCUAAUACAUGCAAGUCGAGCGAACGGACGAGAAGCUUGCUUCUCUGAUGUUAGCGGCGGACGGGUGAGUAACACGUGGAUAACCUACCUAUAAGACUGGGAUAACUUCGGGAAACCGGAGCUAAUACCGGAUAAUAUUUUGAACCGCAUGGUUCAAAAGUGAAAGACGGUCUUGCUGUCACUUAUAGAUGGAUCCGCGCUGCAUUAGCUAGUUGGUAAGGUAACGGCUUACCAAGGCAACGAUGCAUAGCCGACCUGAGAGGGUGAUCAGCCACACUGGAACUGAGACACGGUCCAGACUCCUACGGGAGGCAGCAGUAGGGAAUCUUCCGCAAUGGGCGAAAGCCUGACGGAGCAACGCCGCGUGAGGGAUGAAGGUCUUCGGAUCGUAAAACUCUGUUAUUAGGGAAGAACAUAUGUGUAAGUAACUGUGCACAUCUUGACGGUACCUAAUCAGAAAGCCACGGCUAACUACGUG